UACGUAGGGGGCAAGCGUUGUCCGGAUUUAUUGGGCGUAAAGAGCGUGUAGGCGGUUAUGCAGGUCCGCUGUGAAAACUGGAGGCUUAACCUCCAGACGUCGGUGGAAACCGUAUGACUAGAGUCCGGAAGAGGAGAGUGGAAUUCCUGGUGUAGCGGUGAAAUGCGCAGAUAUCAGGAGGAACACCGGUGGUGUAGACGGCUUUCUGGACCGUAACUGACGCUGAGACACGAAAGCGUGGGUAGCAAACAGG
rnacentral:rRNA from 1 species